CAGGUAUGUUUUCUGUUAAGACCUUUGUGUAUGUCUAAUUGUUGCUUUUCUUUUUUUUCUAGCAGGGCGCGACGCAGAUUGAGGAUUCCAGGUAUGUUUUCUGUUAAGACCUUUGUGUAUGUCUAAUGUUGCUUUUUCUUUUUUUUCUAGCAGGGCGCGACGCAGAGAUUGAGGAUUUUCCAGGUAUGUUUUCUGUUAAGACCUUUGUGUAUGUCUAAUGUUGCCUUUUUCUUUUUUUCUAGCAGGUCGCGACGCAGAUUGAGGAAUUCCAGGUAUGUUUUCUGUUAAGACCUUUGUGUAUGUCUAAAGUUGCCUUUUCUUUUUUUCUAGCAGGUUGCGACGCAGAUUGAGGAAUUCCAGGUAUGUUUUCUGUUAAGACCUUUGUGUAUGUCUAAUGUUGUCUUUUCUUUUUUACUGGCAGGGCGCGACGCAGAUUGAGGAUUCCAGGUAUGUUUUCUGUUAAGACCUUUGUGUAUGUCUAAUGUUGCUUUUCUUUUUUUCUAGCAGGGCGUGACGCAGAUUGAGGAUUUUCAGGUAUGUUUUCUGUUAAGACCUUUGUGUAUGUCUAAUGUUGCCUUUUCUUUUUUUCUAGCAGGGCGCGACACAGAUUGAGGAUUCAGGUAUGUUUUCUGUUAAGACCUUUGUGUAUGUCUAAUGGUUUUUUUUUCCUUUAGGUCGUGUGCCUUUUUUUUUUUUGCAGGGCGCGACGCAGAUUGAGGAUUCGCAGGUAUGUUUUCUGUUAAGACCUUUGUGUAUGUCUAAUGUUGUCUUUUCUUUUUUUCUAGCAGGGCGCGUCGCAGAUUGAGGAUUUUCAGGUAUGUUUUCUGUUAAGACCUUUGUGUAUGUCUAAUGUUGUCCUUUUCUUUUUUUCUAGCAGGGCGCGACGCAGAUUGAGGAUUCCCAGGUAUGUUUUCUGUUAAGACCUUUGUGUAUGUCUAAUGUUGUCUUUUCUUUUUUUUCUGGCAGGGCGCAUCGCAGAUUGGAGAUUUUCAGGUAUGUUUUCUGUUAAGACCUUUGUGUAUGUCUAAUUUCGCCUUUUCUUUUUUUCUAGUAGGGUGCGACGCAGAUUGAGGAUUCCCAGGUAUGUUUUCUGUUAAGACCUUUGUGUAUGUCUAAGGUUGUCUUUUCUUUUUUUCUGGCAGGGCGAGACGCAGAUUGGAGAUUUUCAGGUAUGUUUUCUGUUAAGACCUUUGUGUAUGUCUAAUAUCGCCUUUUCUUUUUUUUUCUGGCAGGGCAUGACGCAGAUUGAGGAUUUUCAGGUAUGUUUUCUGUUAAGACCUUUGUGUAUGUCUAAUGUUGUCUUUUCUUUUUUCUAGCAGGGCGCGACGCAGAUUGAGGAUUUUCCAGGUAUGUUUUCUGUUAAGACCUUUGUGUAUGUCUAAUGUCGCCUUUUCUUUUUUUCUAGCAGGGCGCGACGCAGAUUGAGGAUUCCCAGGUAUGUUUUCUGUUAAGACCUUUGUGUAUGUCUAAUUGCGCCUUUUCUUUUUUUUCUAGCAGGGCGCGACGCAGAUUGAGGAUUCCCAGGUAUGUUUUCUGUUAAGACCUUUGUGUAUGUCUAAUGUUGUCUUUUCUUUUAUUCUGGCAGGGCGCGACGCAGAUUGGAGAUUUGCAGGUAUGUUUUCUGUUAAGGCCUUUGUGUAUGUCAAAUGGUUCCUUUUUUUUCCUUUAGGUCAUGUGGCCUAUGGGACAUUUGCAGGUAUGUUUUCUGUUAAGGCC
rnacentral:lncRNA from 1 species